rnacentral:rRNA from 1 species
AGAGUUUGAUCAUGGCUCAGACAAACGCUGGCGGCGUGCCUAACACAUGCAAGUCGUACGAGAAAGGGUCCUUCGGGACCUGAGUAAAGUGGCGCACGGGUGAGUAACGCGUGGAUAAUCUACCCUUCAGUUGGGACAACUCAUCGAAAGGUGGGCUAAUACCGAAUAAUACUGCUCGACCUUGGUCGAGCAGCCAAAGAGAGCCUCUGCUUGCAAGCCCUCGCUGAAGGAUGAGUUCGCGUACCAUUAGCUUGUUGGUAGGGUAAUGGCCUACCAAGGCGACGAUGGUUAGCUGGUCUGAGAGGAUGAUCAGCCACACUGGAACUGAGACACGGUCCAGACUCCUACGGGAGGCAGCAGUGAGGAAUCUUGCGCAAUGGGGGAAACCCUGACGCAGCAACGCCGCGUGAGUGAGGAAGGUCUUCGGAUCGUAAAGCUCUGUCAGUUGGAAAGAAAUGUCUGAGAGUCAAUACCUUUCAGGCUUGACGGUACCAACAGAGGAAGCACCGGCUAACUCCGUGCCAGCAGCCGCGGUAAUACGGGGGGUGCAAGCGUUGUUCGGAAUUAUUGGGCGUAAAGAGCGUGUAGGCGGCCGGAUAUGUCAGAUGUGAAAGCCCCGGGCUUAACCCGGGAAGUGCAUUUGAAACUGUCCGGCUCGAGUAGGGGAGAGGGAAGUGGAAUUCCUGGUGUAGAGGUGAAAUUCGUAGAUAUCAGGAGGAACACCGGUGGCGAAGGCGACUUCCUGGCCCUAUACUGACGCUGAGACGCGAGAGCGUGGGUAGCAAACAGGAUUAGAUACCCUGGUAGUCCACGCCGUAAACGAUGUUCACUAGGUGUUGGGGGUAUUGACCCCCUCAGUGCCGGAGCUAACGCAUUAAGUGAACCGCCUGGGGAGUACGGUCGCAAGACUAAAACUCAAAGGAAUUGACGG